rnacentral:lncRNA from 1 species
GGUCUUCUAAAUUGCUUUGGCCAAUAGGAUGCAACAGAAAUAACUAUCCUGGCAUUUCUAGGCUUAGGCCUCAAGAGAUCUUGAACAUUUUCACUUGCUCUCCUGGAACCCUGAUGCUGCCACGUGAACAAGCCCAGGCAACCUUACUGGAAGAAGAGAAGCAUCAACUCCAACACAUGAGUGAGGUUAUCCUAGACCAGCCAAACCCCAUCAACCACAAACAUGAGUAAGCCCUGCAGAGACCCACCGAGCCCAAUCCGGAUCAACCAAAC